UUACAGACGGACAUACCAUCCAUUCGCAAGUGGUGGUGUCUGCAGAUUCUGGAGAAAUUUUCGAUCACUAGGCAUGGGCAGGACUUUGGACAGCGCUUUGCCUUUUGGACCGAGGAGGCAAAACAGCUUAUGGCAGGCACCCUACAACCUAUAUAUAGGAUUCUUCGGUCCCACAAAGUUAAGGAGGAGCAGGUAGAAGUGGAGGACCUUCCCUUGAUACUGAGGGACAUGCAUUCAGCUGCAUAUGUGCUGAGACCUUCCCUUCAUACUGAGGGACAUGCACUCAGCAGCAUAUGUGCUGAGGAGCAGCCCUGGGCUGUUCACGUUCACUGGGUGGGUGCAUGAACCAUCCUACAUGUCGAUGGAUCACGAAGACCAAAUGAAUGCUUGGAGGGUGUCGCAGGACACAACUAAGUGGGAUGCAAAGGAGCCAUUCACAUUCACAUUUGAGACU